rnacentral:rRNA from 1 species
GAUGAACGCUGGCGGCGUGCCUAAUACAUGCAAGUCGAGCGAACGGACGAGAAGCUUGCUUUUCUGAUGUUAGCGGCGGACGGGUGAGUAACACGUGGAUAACCUACCUAUAAGACUGGGAUAACUUCGGGAAACCGGAGCUAAUACCGGAUAAUAUUUUGAACCGCAUGGUUCAAAAGUGAAAGACGGUCUUGCUGUCACUUAUAGAUGGAUCCGCGCUGCAUUAGCUAGUUGGUAAGGUAACGGCUUACCAAGGCAACGAUGCAUAGCCGACCUGAGAGGGGGAACGGCCAACAUGGAACUGAAACACGGGCCAGACCCCUACGGGAGGCAGAAGGGGGGAAUUUUCCGCAAUGGGGGAAAGCCUGACGGAGCAACGCCGGGGGGGUGAAGAAGGUCUUCGGAUCGUAAAACUUUUUUAUUAGGGAAAAAAAAAUGUGGAAGUAACUGGGCAAAUCUUGACGGUACCAAAUCAAAAAGCCACGGCAAACUACGU